CGCACAUUUUGUUUUCACAGACUAACGUCGCCUCAUAACGAAGCCGUGACCUCCUAUUUGGUUGGGGCUAUUUUAGCAAGUCCACAUUUAACUGCUGAGAAUGACGACAUUGUUUCUGCCUGUAAGACGUAUUAUGAGUCGGUUCGCCGGAGCUUCAGAUACAAACAACCUGAACUCGCAUCGCGGGCGGAAAAUGCGAAAAGUUUAGCUCGGAGUCGAUCCAGAAGAAAAAGGUUGCUGGAAGCGAGUCGAAGUGUGCUGGCUGAGGGUGAGAUGGACAUUUGAAAGUGCGCCACCAUAGAUCUCAUGUCUGAUGAAGACGGCAUUGUUGACGGGGUGUCUGGAUGGAUUGUACGGCCACCGCCCUCUCGCAGCCUGGAACUCUCCGAGCUCUGUGCCACGCUGCAAUUCAGAUUAGAGGCGAUACCAAAGUACA